rnacentral:rRNA from 1 species
UACGUAGGGUGCAAGCGUUGUCCGGAAUUAUUGGGCGUAAAGAGCUCGUAGGCGGUUUGUCGCGUCUGCUGUGAAAACUCGGGGCUUAACUCCGGGCCUGCAGUGGGUACGGGCAGACUAGAGUGCGGUAGGGGAGACUGGAAUUCCUGGUGUAGCGGUGAAAUGCGCAGAUAUCAGGAGGAACACCGGUGGCGAAGGCGGGUCUCUGGGCCGUAACUGACACUGAGGGACGAAAGCUAGGGGAGCGAAAGGG